rnacentral:lncRNA from 1 species
UUAGUUUAUUCCAUCUGAAACAAUAUACUAACUACAUGCAAAGAGUUAAAUGCUGUAUAUUUACUUUACAUUCAAUAUAGAGAUGGAUGAGAUGGAUGGAUGGAUGGAUGGAUGGAUGGGGGAAAUGGAUAAAAUAGAUGGAUGAAACAGAUAAGAUGGAUUGAUGUCUACAUAGCAGCAGCAAUGACUAUAUCAAUAUAUACUCUUUACUCUUUUUAAUUUAGCUUCGUCAUCGUCUUCCAAAAAACAUACCAUGGGCUUCCUGUGGUAGUGAAGCACGCGUACCCAUCAUGCUUCAGGGUCUCUUUGACAAGAAGAAAGAGUGAAGCUUCGAGGUGUGGACACAAACUUCGACCAUUACACGUUGGAUUAUCAAGGAUAAGAAGACUAGCUGAAUCUAUAAGUGUUAGUUUUAGAUGUUAUUUAGUAAGAUUACACCAGCAAAAACAAUUUCCUUUGAAUUAAUUGAGCACCGGUGUAAUUCUACUAAAUACUUAUUCACCACAGAUUGAGUGGAUUCUGGUUGGUAUUUGCCUCAAAUAUUGGCUGAUCUUCACUUUGUCUUUGGUGUAUAAUCUUUAAUUAUUUAAUAUAUCUACAUAUAAUGCUUUGUUGUAUGUAGAUUUGUUUUCACCACUUUAAGAACUCAAGGUAUCAAAGGUUGUGCUAGCUUUUUGUUACAAAUGAAAAGUGACCACAUCUUUUGAAUUUUCUUACAAUUUACUAAAUGCUGGUAACUUAUGCACAUAUAAUGUCUCCUUUGGACCUGAUGACUGGCUGGCUUGGAUCAACUCUACAUAUCAUAUAUAUUUGCGUGAUUAUGAUUUUGAUUGCCUUUUGACUAAUAUUUAUUGAUCUUUAUUUGUCUCACAUUGAAUGAUUGAUUUUACAUUUGAUUGAUUACUGAUGUACAUGAAAAAGUUUCUUUCAAAAUUUUGCAUAUUCUAUUCAAACCACAGUACUUCUAAAAAAAUUUUUCCAGAGACAAGCAUUAAUUUAAGAUAUGUUUUAAAUUAUUUUGAAUUUGAGUUAGAAUAUUUUCAUUACUCCAAGUCCUUUGCUUUAAUUUUUUCCACCCUUCUUUUUGCUUUUGAAUCGGAUUUGGCAAAUUCCAAGAAUCCAAAAUUUGUAAAAAAGCUUUUUCGUAAACAAUUUCUUUGUUUGACAUGUUUACAGUUUGUACAGUAUUCUCUUGCUGUACUAAAAAAAUCUGAGAUUCUAAGUCUUUUUUAAAAAAUUGAAGGAAAAAAUAAUCUCUUUUUAGCUUUUCAUUUGGUUCAUUGAUUUUAGUUGUUCUGCAAAAAUAGUAAGCGAGAGGAUACUGUAUAAAUCAUGAUGAUUGUUAUUCUCAUUGAUGCAUUUGUUGAUACAGUAGAACCACACUAUCUUGUCCUGGUUAUCGUUACUCACAGAUCAAGAGAAUCAAGAAAAGUUUUUUGUACCUUUACAUACUCUUAUCAAUUGUAUUUCCCUAUUUUCAUGUCGCAACUGUUUUCUCAAUCAGCGUGUAGCAACUAAGACAGUAAUAACCAAAUUCAUGAUCAAUCGGCUGCAUUUGACAUUUUUAAAUGUUAUUGUUGGCUUUAAAUUUCUCCUUUGAGCAUAUUUGAUGAGAUAGUGUAGUUCUACUUUCUUUGAUUACCGUAUAUGAUGCUUUAAUAAAAAUUUGCCUGCUAUAUUCUGCACUCCUGGCUCACUCNCUUCAACACGGUAAGUCAAGUGCAUAAUUUACCAGCAUUAAGUCUUGUAUUUUUCCACCAAUGUCCUCUUUUAUCAUCCAAUUACUUUUCUGAAUCUCUUACAUUGCUAUUUAAAAAUAUGGUAGACCAUGUAUUUUGGUGUUACAUUCACUUUAAGUUANCCAGAGGAUGUUGGUUGGAAGGUGCAAUUUUCUAAAUUACUUUUCUUCGACAAGUUGUUAGUUACCUUACAAACACUAAAACUUGCAGAGCAACAGAUGAGUCAAUUGAAUUAAUUCACUCAAAUAAGUUCAACAAGUAUCAUAUAUGAAAGAUUUAGGCUUUCAUAUCUUCACCAAUUUUCGUUUUUUAUUUUUUUAAACUUAGUACAAUUGAACCUAUUUUGUACUAAUGUAGUCAACUUGUUGGCCCAUUACCUGUUGCAACUGCUUGUAGUGUUUGUACUCAUCAGUAGAAAUGGUUCCAUUUAUUCUUAAAGUGGUGAAAAUAUAUAAACUUAGGACUAUGAGUGGACACACCAAUGGUCAGAUAGAAAUACUGUACAAAAUUCCAAUUGGAUAUUGACUGAUGUUUUAUGGCUAUGCCAUAUUUUUGUUUAGCUUUUACGCUGUUUAGCUAGGAUCUAAGAUUUAAAAAAAAUCUUAGUGCCCAUUUUUAAAGGGAUCAUAAAUUAUCUCGCAGUUCCAAUUUCAUCUUUUUUAUCAGCAAGAACUUGUNUUUAAUCUGAUGUUUCCUUCAAAAUUCAGUAUAUAUUUUCGGUUCCAUCUACUUAAUCAUCAAUGUGGAAAGUCUCAAAACUAUAAGUGAUUUGAUUUUACUGCACGGAAAAGUUACUCAGUACCAAACAACCUAAUCGGGGAAAAAAAUAAAAUCAAACAAAAAAUUUAUUUGGCAUUGGUAUUUCACAGGGCUUGGUGUGUUCAUCUCAUAGUCUGACAAAGGUGUUGCUUGAGUUAAAAGUACAACAAGAAAUUACAAAUGGUAUACUAAAACUAAGUCGGUUUCUGUCUGACUCUGAAAAGAGAUUUAUUUGUUAAAAAGAUUUCAAAUUGAAAAUGUUAUUUUACAAAUCAAAUGGUAUGUUGCCAUGUUUCAGGCACUGGAAUGGAUUUGUUAACUGAAAUGAUUGAAAAAAUGGGUUUAUCUGAUGUUGGCGUUAAGGUGGCUUGAUAUGUUUUUCUUGCCACUACCUUUGAACUUCAAAUUGCAAAUACCCAGUUGGAAACAAUUAAAUGAAUAAAUUCAAUUUACAUACCCGGUUGCAAACAAUCCAUGAUUGGUCAGCAAAAAAAUACCAUUUGUUACUCUUGCUGUAAUGCAGAAUAGAUUGUGUAGGAUUGAGUAAACCAUGGUACAGACUUGAGGUGCCAGAAUAAAUCAACUCUGAUUUUAUCCUAAAACAAUACUGUAUCACACUGCACUGUACCUUGUCAUACACCAUGGUUGGCUGCAAUCCUGUCUAAGUCUAUUCUGUUACUAGUACUGGUAAGGCUCAGUGUAGACCUGGAACUUUUCAUUGAUCGAAUAAUUAAAUGUUNGGAGGUAUCUAAAAUCAGUCAUUCAAAAUUGGGCCUUUUAGAGUUUCAUAAAGCUCCAUGCAAGCUACCCUCUAAUCAGUUUAAGGCGGCUUUCAAUCUGAUUAGAUAAAGUAGAUGAAAAAUUCCAAGUCUAACUGGGACCAAUUAAUACUGUAUACGAGGCAUAGAACCAGUUUUAUGCUUCGUUUUAGUUUCCAGUACCAGUCUUUUAAUCAAGCAACACCUUUGUCUUCAGAAUCCUAAUCAAAAGCUCUGUCCCUGAGGUCAUCAGUUCAUCCUAUUCCAAACCCUUAAGGGUGGCCCUUAACGCUUUGUUGAGGGCCAUUUUUUCUUAAGGGGAGGGUAGGUUUGAACUUUUGAUCUCAGGGAUCUUCGUCUAAUUACCCUAGGGGCAAAAAAAAUCACAAAAAGACUUAGUAUAUAUUUUUUCAAAAUUUAUAGGGAUUUUUUACUUUUUUUCACAAUUUUUUAUUUUUUUUUCGUUUUUUUUCUUGCCAAUUUGAAUUUUUUUUAAUUUUCUUAAGCCAAUUUGAAUUUUUUUUCUUUAAAGCCAAUUUUUUUUUUUUUUUUGAGCCAACCUUCUUACCUUGUUGAUGAAUACCAGACUUGCCUUGUUCCUUGCUUGUGGGUGGCUGUCUUUUUGCUUGUCCAAUUUUUCAUCUGAAAACCUAGACCUUACCUGGAUUUGAACCCUUACCUUCAACUUGCCUCUUGUCCAUUAGCCUGUGCACUUGUGUUGUAUACUGUCAGUUUAUUUGUUGAAAGUGAUGGUAUUGAUGUACCUUAAAUCAUAGGGCUUUGUAAUGGCUUGCAUUAAUUACCGAUUAAAAAUUCUUAUGCAUAA